rnacentral:rRNA from 1 species
GGGGGACGGAGAAGGCUAGGUGGGCCUGGCGACGGUUGUCCAGGUUCAAGUGCGUAGGCUUAAGAGUUAGGUAAAUCCGGCUCUUUUUAAGGCUGAGACACGACGUCGAGCACCUACGGGUGUGAAGCCAUUGAUGCCAUGCUUCCAGGAAAAGCCUCUAAGCUUCAGAUUGUAAGGAAUCGUACCCCAAACCGACACAGGUGGUCGGGUAGAGAAUACCAAGGCGCUUGAGAGAACUCGGGUGAAGGAACUAGG